UUGCCCAUUCAAGACCUGCUUUUGUUUUGAAUGACUAACACAGGGGGGUAGAAUAAUUCUCUCAAAAACCUGAAGUAUUGGCUUAAAAUACCUUGCUUUGGAUCCUGUCGGGAGAUACAGUU